UACGGGGGGGGCAAGCGUUGUUCGGAAUUACUGGGCGUAAAGGGCUUGUAGGUGGCCAACUAAGUCAGACGUGAAAUCCCUCGGCUUAACCGGGGAACUGCGUCUGAUACUGGAUGGCUGGAGUGUGGGAGAGGGAUGCGGAAUUCCAGGUGUAGCGGUGAAAUGCGUAGAUAUCUGGAGGAACACCGGUGGCGAAGGCGGCGUCCUGGACCAUUACUGACACUGAAAAGCGAAAGCCAGGGGAGCAAACGGG
rnacentral:rRNA from 1 species